GUGGGGAAUCUUCCGCAAUGGACGAAAGUCUGACGGAGCAACGCCGCGUGAGUGAAGAAGGUUUUCGGAUCGUAAAGCUCUUUCGUUAGGGACGAACGUGCUCUUUGUGAAUAAUGAGGAGUAAUGACGGUACCUAAAUAAGAAGCCACGGCUAACUACGUGCCAGCAGCCGCGGUAAUACGUAGGUGGCAAGCGUUGUCCGGAAUUAUUGGGCGUAAAGCGCGCGCAGGCGGGAUAUCAAGUCUGUCUUAAAAGUGCGAGGCUCAACCUCGUGAGGGGACAGAAACUGGUAUUCUUGAUGGUCGGAGAGGAAAGUGGAAUUCCAAGUGUAGCGGUGAAAUGCGUAGAGAUUUGGAAGAACACCAGUGGCGAAGGCGACUUUCUGGACGAAAACUGACGCUGAGGCGCGAAAGCCAGGGGAGCGAACGGGAUUAGAUACCCGGGUAGUCC
rnacentral:rRNA from 1 species